GAGUGUUGGUGGAUUGUUGCUAAUUUAGAGAAUAUAAAUGUGUAAUCUGGUUAGGUAAUCUCUCUCUUUUUGACUGCCCUGUAUCAGAGCAUCUAAAGAUUCAUUUAUCUACAUACUGGCUGUUAUUAUGAGAUCUAGUGGAUGUGAACUAAAGGCAAGAAUAUUUUAAGUCCUAUAAAUGGAAUUAUAAAAUUAAAAAUUGACUUAUUCAAUUGUCUGAGGGCCUCCUACCUCAAUUUACCAAUAUCUCCCUGGAAGGAACUUGU
rnacentral:lncRNA from 1 species